AGCAUAUCAAUAAGCGGAGGAAAAGAAACCAACAGGGAUUGCCCCAGUAACGGCGAGUGAAGCGGCAGCAGCUCAAAUUUGAAAUCUGGGCCCCCCCGAGGGCCCCGAGUUGUAAUUUGCAGAGGAUGCUUUUGGCGAGGCGCCUUCCGAGUUCCCUGGAACGGGACGCCGCAGAGGGUGAGAGCCCCGUCUGGUCGGACGCCGAGCCUCUGUAAAGCUCCCUCGACGAGUCGAGUAGUUUGGGAAUGCUGCUCUAAACGGGAGGUAUAUGUCUUCUAAAGCUAAAUACCGGCCAGAGACCGAUAGCGCACAAGUAGAGUGAUCGAAAGAUGAAAAGCACUUUGGAAAGAGGGUUAAACAGUACGUGAAAUUGUUGAAAGGGAAGCGCUCGCGACCAGACUUGGGCCCCGCGGACCAGCCGGCGGUGACCUCGACGGCGCACCCCGCAGGGCCCAGGCCAGCAUCAGUUCGCGCCGGGGGACAAAGGCGGCGGGAACGUGGCUCCCCCCCCGGGGGGAGUGUUAUAGCCCGCCGCGCAAUGCCCUGGGGCGGACUGAGGACCGCGCGUUCCACGCAUGGAUGCUGGCGUAAUGGUCGCCAGCGACCCGUCUUGAAACACGGACCAAGGAGUCGUCCUCGUAUGCGAGUGUUCGGGUGUCAAGCCCCUACGCGGAAUGAAAGUGAACGCAGGUGAGAGCCCCCGGGCGCAUCACCGACCGAUCCCGAUGUUCUCGGACGGAUUUGAGUAGGAGCAUACGGGGCCGGACCCGAAAGAAGGUGAACUAUGCCUGUGUAGGGUGAAGCCAGAGGAAACUCUGGUGGAGGCUCGCAGCGGUUCUGACGUGCAAAUCGAUCGUCAAACAUGGGCAUGGGGGCGAAAGACUAAUCGAACCUUCUAGUAGCUGGUUUCCGCCGAGUUUCCCCCUCAGGGA
rnacentral:rRNA from 1 species